rnacentral:tRNA from 1 species
GGGGCUAGAGCUCAGUGGUAGAGUGCUUGCCUAGCACGCAUCAGGCACUGGGUUCGAUCCUCAGUACUAUCA